rnacentral:rRNA from 1 species
GAUGAACGCUGACAGAAUGCUUAACACAUGCAAGUCAACUUGAAUUUGGGUUUUUAACUUAGGUUUGGGUGGCGGACGGGUGAGUAACGCGUAAAGAACUUGCCUCACAGUUAGGGACAACAUUUGGAAACGAAUGCUAAUACCUGAUAUUAUGAUAAUAGGGCAUCCCAUAAUUAUGAAAGCUGUAAGCGCUGUGAGAGAGCUUUGCGUCCCAUUAGCUAGUUGGAGAGGUAACGGCUCACCAAGGCGAUGAUGGGUAGCCGGCCUGAGAGGGUGAUCGGCCACAAGGGGACUGAGACACGGCCCUUACUCCUACGGGAGGCAGCAGUGGGGAAUAUUGGACAAUGGACCAAGAGUCUGAUCCAGCAAUUCUGUGUGCACGAUGAAAUUUUUCGGAAUGUAAAGUGCUUUCAGUUGGGAAGAAAUAAAUGACGGUACCAACAGAAGAAGUGACGGCUAAAUACGUGCCAGCAGCCGCGGUAAUACGUAUGUCACGAGCGUUAUCCGGAUUUAUUGGGCGUAAAGCGCGUCUAGGUGGUUAUGUAAGUCUGAUGUGAAAAUGCAGGGCUCAACUCUGUAUUGCGUUGGAAACUGUAUAACUAGAGUACUGGAGAGGUAAGCGGAACUACAAGUGUAGAGGUGAAAUUCGUAGAUAUUUGUAGGAAUGCCGAUGGGGAAGCCAGCUUACUGGACAGAUACUGACGCUGAAGCGCGAAAGCGUGGGUAGCAAACAGG